rnacentral:rRNA from 1 species
GACGAACGCUGGCGGCGUGCUUAACACAUGCAAGUCGAGCGAUGAAGCCCUUCGGGGUGGAUUAGCGGCGGACGGGUGAGUAACACGUGGGUAACCUGCCUCAAAGAGGGGGAUAGCCUCCCGAAAGGGAGAUUAAUACCGCAUAACAUUAGUUUUUCGCAUGGAGAACUAAUUAAAGGAGUAAUCCGCUUUGAGAUGGACCCCGCGGCGCAUUAGCUAGUUGGUGAGGUAACGGCUCACCAAGGCGACGAUGCGUAGCCGACCUGAGAGGGUGAUCGGCCACAUUGGAACUGAGACACGGUCCAGACACCUACGGGUGGCAG